UACGUAGGGGGCAAGCGUUGUCCGGAUUUAUUGGGCGUAAAGAGCGUGUAGGCGGCCCGGUAAGUCCGCUGUGAAAGUCGGGGGCUCAACCCUCGGAUGCCGGUGGAUACUGUCGGGCUUGAGUACGGAAGAGGCGAGUGGAAUUCCUGGUGUAGCGGUGAAAUGCGCAGAUAUCAGGAGGAACACCGAUUGCGAAGGCAGCUCGCUGGGACGUUACUGACGCUGAGACGCGAAAGCGUGGGGAGCAAACAGG
rnacentral:rRNA from 1 species